rnacentral:tRNA from 1 species
GCUCAGCUGGUUAGAGCACAUCACUCAUAAUGAUGGGGUCACAGGUUCGAAUCCCGUCGUAGCCACCA